ACCUGAGUAGCUCAGUUGGUUAAGCGUCUGCCUUCAGCUCAGGUCAUGAUCCCCCGUGGGAUCUAGUCCCACAUCAGGUU
rnacentral:tRNA from 1 species